CAAGGUUACUCCUCCCACCCAAGGCUUCCAUAGCAGGGAUAAGCACUGACCUUUGAGCAAACAGCCCCGUGGAAACUGCGCAGUCACCAGUGACUCACACUCCACCUAUGUUUUCAGAAGCAGAGGCCGGGGUUGUGGCUCAGGGACCGUGCGUUUCCCUAGAGUGUCUGAGAGCCUAGGUCCCACCCUCUGCUCUGCCAUCUACAAGGUGUUCUGUCCGACAAACUGGAAAGCUGGACUGUGUGGGCAGUCAUCCUGACUACCUGAUUCUGGCUUCCCUUUUAUGGGUUUUGUUUGUAUCUUAAAUAUUGAGGAGGCUUUUAAAAUCCAGAGUACUGAGUGCAGACUUGGCUACAACUAA
rnacentral:lncRNA from 1 species